GACGAACGCUGGCGGCGUGCUUAACGCAUGCAAGUCGAACGAUGAACCCGGAGCUUGCUCCGGCGGAUUAGUGGCGAACGGGUGAGUAACACGUGAGUAACCUGCCCUUGACUCUGGGAUAACUGCUAGAAAUGGUAGCUAAUACCGGAUACGACCCUCGGUGGCAUCACCAGGGGGUGGAAAGAAUUUCGGUCAAGGAUGGACUCGCGGCCUAUCAGCUAGUUGGUGAGGUAACGGCUCACCAAGGCGACGACGGGUAGCCGGCCGGAGAGGGUGACCGGCCACACUGGGACUGAGACACGGCCCAGACUCCUACGGGAGGCAGCAGUGGGGAAUAUUGCACAAUGGGCGCAAGCCUGAUGCAGCAACGCCGCGUGAGGGAUGACGGCCUUCGGGUUGUAAACCUCUUUUAGUAGGGAAGAAGCGAAAGUGACGGUACCUGCAGAAAAAGCACCGGCUAACUACGUGCCAGCAGCCGCCGUAA
rnacentral:rRNA from 1 species